rnacentral:rRNA from 1 species
GGUUUGGUGGUCAUAGCGUUGGCUAAACACCCGAUCCCAUCCCGAACUCGGCCGUUAAGGGCCAACACGCCGAUGGUACUGCGUCUCAAGACGUGGGAGAGUAGGUCACCGCCAAACC